AUCACCACCCUGAGCUGCCGUAUGUGCUACCUGCCAACAUACUAGUAUAUCUAUGGAGGCAUUAUAAUAAUUUUGAUCGGUUCUUGAAGAUGGUCUUGUGCAAACAAUUGUAUUUUCAAGCCUUGAAACUUGUUUAACAACAUUUAAAUCUAUCCUGAACAACUUUGUUUCCUGACUUCAUCUGAACUGGAUCAAAAAGUACUAAGAAGUUUCAAAAGCACAAGAUUGUCAAAAUCGGGCCAGUUUGCAGAAUUCUGAAAUGCGAGGAUGCAACUAGAUAGGAAAAAAAGGAGGCGAUUGGAUAUUUUCUUAAUAACCUUUGUGAAAAGUAUGAGGGAAAAAG